GCCUACGUUCGUGCCAAUAGGUCGCUAACACAACGUCCGUAUCGACAAGUGAAAACAAAUGAAUUACCAUGUCAUGCAUUCUUUUAGGUGACUUGAACAAAACAUUCGUAUGAUGCAGUGAAACAAACGUAUCGCCACGAUCUGUGUUCGUUCCGGUGGACGUAAACAAAAUGCUUGUAUCAGACACAAAAAAUCCAAAAAAGUUAACAAAUGACAUAAUGAAGAACAUAAAAAAUCCAGAACAAUCAAAUCUACAAGAACACGAAAAAUAAAAGGUUAAAAGAGAGCUCACCUACCUUUUCGAAAUUUGUGUUUUUUCGUGCAAAGAUCCAUCAAAACGAACCUAAUGGAUCAUCCAUUCAAAGAAAUCGAGAGAUAAAAACUCAGAUCAAACAAAACCAUAAGAACUCGAAAAACAUGAAGAACAAGAGCAAAAAAUGGAGAUAAUCCACAUUUUCGAGGUUUGUUUACACUUUUCUAGUGUUUUCCUUGUGCAAUCCAUCUUGAAGAGUAAAAAACGAACUCAGAUCUAGCAUUCAUUUAAAAAAAAUUGAGAGAACAUAUUUUCUCACGUAUGCUUACCGGAUAUGAACAUAUUUUUUCGUGUGGUUUCCGGAUACGAACGAAUAAAUGUAUUGGUACUUCACAUAUGAAUUAAUAAAUAUUGGUAUUCAAUGUGUGCAUAACGAAUACAAACGUAAGCUUUCUAGAGUUAGAGCACUUUAUGAC
rnacentral:lncRNA from 1 species